rnacentral:rRNA from 1 species
UACGUAGGGGGCUAGCGUUGUCCGGAAUCAUUGGGCGUAAAGCGCGCGUAGGCGGCCCGGUAAGUCCGCUGUGAAAGUCAAAGGCUCAACCUUUGAAUGUCAGCGGAUACUGCCGUGCUAGAGUCCGGAAGAGGCGAGUGGAACUCCUGGUGUAGCGGUGGAAUGCGCAGAUAUCAGGAGGAACACCAAUAGCGAAGGCAGCUCGCUGGGACGGUACUGACGCUAAGGCGCGAAAGCGUGGGGAGCGAACAGG